rnacentral:rRNA from 1 species
AAGUCCCGUAACGAGCGCAACCCUUGUCAUUAGUUGCUACGAAAGGGCACUCUAAUGAGACUGCCGGUGACAAACCGGAGGAAGGUGGGGAUGACGUCAAGUCCUCAUGGCCCUUAUGGGUAGGGCUUCACACGUCAUACAAUGGUACAUACAGAGGGCCGCCAACCCGCGAGGGGGAGCUAAUCCCAGAAAGUGUAUCGUAGUCCGGAUCGCAGUCUGCAACUCGACUGCGUGAAGUUGGAAUCGCUAGUAAUCGCGGAUCAGCAUGUCGCGGUGAAUACGUUCCCGGGUCUUGUACACACCGCCCGU